rnacentral:misc_RNA from 1 species
GAUGAAGAACGUAGCGAAAUGCGAUAAGUAAUGUGAAUUGCAGAAUUCAGUGAAUCAUCGAAUCUUUGAGCGCACAUUGCGCCCCUUGGUAUUCCGAGGGGCAUGCCUGUUCGAGCGUCAUUAUAACCCCUCAAGCUCAGCUUGGUGUUGGGGCCUGCUGCACUGGCAGCCCUUAAAAUCAGUGGCGGCGCCAUCUGGCUCUAAGCGUAGUAAUUCUUCUCGCUAUGGAGUCCUGGUGGAUGCUUGCCAUCAACCCCCAAUUUUUCUAUGGUUGACCUCGGAUCAGGUAGGGAUACCCGCUGAACUUAAGCAUAUCAAUAAGCGGAGGA